UACGUAGGGGGCAAGCGUUGUCCGGAUUUAUUGGGCGUAAAGAGCGUGUAGGCGGCCAGACAGGUCCGUUGUGAAAACUCGAGGCUCAACCUCGAGAUGUCGAUGGAAACCAUCUGGCUAGAGUCCGGAAGAGGAGAGUGGAAUUCCCGGUGUAGCGGUGAAAUGCGCAGAUAUCGGGAAGAACACCCGUGGCUAAGGCGGCUCUCUAGUACGGUACUGACGCUGAGACGCGAAAGCGUGGGGAGCGAACAGG
rnacentral:rRNA from 1 species